UACAGAGGGUGCAAGCGUUGUUCGGAAUUAUUGGGCGUAAAGGGCGCGUAGGCGGUUCGGCAAGUCUCUAGUGAAAUCUCUGGGCUCAACUCAGAGUCUGCUGGGGAAACUGCCGGGCUUGAGUGUGGGAGAGGAGAGUGGAAUUCCCGGUGUAGCGGUGAAAUGCGUAGAUAUCAGGAGGAACACCAGUGGCGAAGGCGGAUCUCUGGGCCAUUACUGACGCUGAGGAGCGAAAGCGUGGGGAGCGAACAGG
rnacentral:rRNA from 1 species